GGAAGGGUCGUUUUGGCUGAGGAGAGACUUGGGUGUCCGACCGAGCCUGUUUGCGCCGCAGCUGCCUUCGGAAAGGUCCUCGGCAAGGCGCAUCCCCUGCAAUGUCAUUUACGAGAACGAGGUGGUAGCCGCAGCUUUUCUCCGUGAGCGGUUCCCCCCCGCCUGCUCCGGUUCCUUUGCUGUUCCCUUUGUCUUCCUUUCCUGUUCCCCUCCCCCCGCGCUCGCAAGCACCCUGAGCUGAGGUCUGGGUGCGCGGUGUUCGGGAGCGCGGCAGGGCGGGUGCCGUCGUUGCUGCUGUGCCUCGCGUCCUAUAACCUUUCACCCCAACUCCGAUGCUUUUCCUAGUCAUGCCGAAGGAGCCGAUUAUGAGGUUAUCUGAAGCAGAAGAUUGUGGUGAUUCUCUUCUUGGUCCUUUAAUGAUUAUUGUCGAGAAGCGUGCUGCUCACCUGGGCCUGACCAAGGGAUUCGGGACAGUUGUGGAUGAAGGGCCCGAGGGUGGGCGGUCUGUCUGUCACGUACAUCUACAUAUUCUGGGUGGCGGUCAGUCGGGCUGUCCGCCCAGCUAAGAGUUUUGCACCACGAGAGUUGCCACACGUGUACAAAUGGCCACCGAAUGGUCUUUUGUCUGUUGCCCGUUGUCAAUCUAGGCACUGUUGAGGUGUGAUGUUUUGUGGCAUGUGUCUGUGGAAGGUAACGGAAGCUUUGAGCGGCAAUUACACAAUAAAGAUAGAGGAUGGGGAUAUCAUGUCUGUCUCGUGCGUUUUGCUGGGGGAAAUAGUUCCCCGAGUUGAACUGGUGCCUCCCCGGAGUGUAAGUAUGUGGAACGUUUCGUCCUGUUAACAGCGUUCUGUGUAUAGGUAGUGAUUUGCCCGAUCAUUUGAAGCGUGAUGCUGGAACCGCUUAGCAGUGUCCUGGGUCUUGUAGGAAGCAAAUUCUUAGCUUUUUGGAAGUGGUACGCAAACGUACGUAAAGGCGGUGCGUAGAGGUUGCUGCUGCUGCUUAGACUUUGGAAAA